UUUGCUGAAUGAGAAGACAGGAAGGGGUUUGCCAAAAUGUUUACUAGACUGUGGGUGAUCCUUGAUGUUCAUAACUAAAUCCAUGUUAGGCAGAUCACCGAUCAAAGAUAUAAUAAAAUGCUCAAUUCCUGCACAUCUCGAUGGAAACAUACAUUCCUUUUCUCUGUAGAGUUUGCCAUUUAUUAUCUGGUAAACUUGCCUUGCUUUAGCAGCCUCGAUCAAUACCCUCGAGAUACCAGUUUCCCGGAAAGGCUUCAGAUCAGCUUCUAUGAUGUCUACGUAAAGUUCGCAGUUCUUAUGACUGGUGCAAUCUUCCGUAGACUCUUCGACAACAUUGUUUGCAGAGUGUAUCGCCUCUAGAUACAAGGAAUAUCUUUGCUCGUGCC
rnacentral:misc_RNA from 1 species